rnacentral:rRNA from 1 species
AUUGAACGCUGGCGGCAGGCUUAACACAUGCAAGUCGGGCGGGGGGAGGUAGCUUGCUACCGGACCUAGCGGCGGACGGGUGAGUAAUGCUUAGGAAUCUGCCUAUUAGUGGGGGACAACAUCUCGAAAGGGAUGCUAAUACCGCAUACGUCCUACGGGAGAAAGCAGGGGAUCUUCGGACCUUGCGCUAAUAGAUGAGCCUAAGUCGGAUUAGCUAGUUGGUGGGGUAAAGGCCUACCAAGGCGACGAUCUGUAGCGGGUCUGAGAGGAUGAUCCGCCACACUGGGACUGAGACACGGCCCAGACUCCUACGGGAGGCAGCAGUGGGGAAUAUUGGACAAUGGGGGGAACCCUGAUCCAGCCAUGCCGCGUGUGUGAAGAAGGCCUUAUGGUUGUAAAGCACUUUAAGCGAGGAGGAGGCUACUUAGUUAAUACCUAGAGAUAGUGGACGUUGCUCGCAGAAUAAGCACCGGCUAACUCUGUGCCAGCAGCCGCGGUAA